rnacentral:rRNA from 1 species
GGCGUGGAUAAGACAUGCAAGUCGAACGAGAUCCUUAGCAAAGCUUGCUUUGCUAAGUCUAGUGGCGAACGGGUGAGUAACACGUGAGCAACCUGCCCAGAAGCAGGGGAUAAGCCACCGAAAGGUGGUCUAAUACCGUAUGUGAUACCAAGAGGCAUCUCUUGGAUAUUAAAGGGGGGGACCUUCGGGCCUCUCACUUCUGGAUGGGCUCGCGGCCUAUCAGCUUGUUGGUGAGGUAACGGCUCACCAAGGCAACGACGGGUAGCUGGUCUGAGAGGACGACCAGUCACACUGGAACUGAGACACGGUCCAGACACCUACGGGUGGCAGCAGUCGAGAAUCAUUCACAAUGGGCGAAAGCCUGAUGGUGCGACGCCGCGUGGAGGAUGACAGCCCUAGGGUUGUAAACUCCUGUCAUGAGAGAGUAAAGACUUAACGUUAACACCGUUGGGUCCUGAUAGUAUCUCAAGAGGAAGGGACGGCUAACUUCGUGCCAGCAGCCGCGGUAAUACGAAGGUCCCAAGCGUUGUUCGGAAUUACUGGGCGUAAAGCGUGCGUAGGUGGCAUGGUAAGUCAGAUGUGAAAUCCCGGGGCUCAACCCCGGAACUGCAUCCGAUACUGCCAAGCUAGAGUAGUGGAGGGGAGUCUGGAAUUCACGGUGUAGCAGUGAAAUGCGUAGAUAUCGUGAGGAACACUAGUGGCGAAGGCGAGACUCUGGACACUAACUGACACUGAGGCACGAAGGCUAGGGUAGCGAAAGGGAUUAGAUACCCCUGUAGUCCUAGCAGUAAACGGUGCGCGUUUGGUGUGGGCGGGUUCGACCCCGUCCGUGCCGAAGCUAACGCGUUAAACGCGCCGCCUGGGGAGUAC